rnacentral:lncRNA from 1 species
UGGUGUGGUCAUUCGUGACUGUCAAAAUCGAAUUUUAAUGAUUGACAUAGCUAAUGUUAUCAGAUCGAGACGAUCUUUUGUGACGAUACUCUAAUGAUAAUUAUUUAGAUAAUAAAUGAUGAAGAUAUACUUGAAAUUCGAUUUUACCAUUAUAGGUUUACGUAAUUAAUCAUCCAAAAUUAUUUGUAAGUAUAAUUAAAUUUCUUUAAAACUCCAAUUUGAAGGAUAAAAUAAUGUUUUUUCGUAAAAUUAUUAUUUUAAUCAUGUAGAUCUCAAAAAAUUAUAUGAA